CCUACGUGGUGCAGCAGUGGGGAAUAUUGCACAAUGGGGGAAACCCUGAUGCAGCGACGCCGCGUGAGUGAAGACGUAAUUCGUUACGUAAAGCUCUAUCAGCAGGGAAGUAAAUGACGGUACCUGAGUAGGAAGCCCCGGCUAACUACGUGCCAGCAGCCGAGGUAAUACGUAGGGGGCGAGCGUUAUCCGGAUUUACUGGGUGUAAAGGGAGCGUAGACGGUGGGCCAAGUCUGGAGUGAAUUGCCGAAGGUUAACUGCGGAACUGCUUUGGAAACUGGCGAACUAGAGAGCAGGGGGGGUAAGCGGAAUGCCUAGUGUAGCGGUGAAAUGCGUAGAUAUUAGGAGGAACACCGAUUGCGAAGGCGGCUUACUGGACCGUAACUGACGUUGAGGCUCGAAAGCGUGGGGAGCAAACAGGAUUAGAUACCCGUGUAGUC
rnacentral:rRNA from 1 species